AUAACCGCUGAAAGCAUCUAAGCGGGAAACUCGCCUUAAGAUGAGAUAUCCCCGGGGCUUCGAGCCCCUUGAAGGGUCGUUCAAGACCAGGACGUUGAUAGGUCAGGUGUGGAAGCGCAGUAAUGCGUUAAGCUAACUGAUACUAAUUGCCCGUAAGGCUUGAUCCUAUAACC
rnacentral:rRNA from 1 species